UGCCUCAGUUUUAUCCUGCCUCAGUUUUAUUGAACACGGCUUUUGCUAAGCUUCUAAAAAGCCAGCUGCUGCUUUGCAGGAUUGAUUUUUUUUCCUCUCUUCAUAUUCUUUUCAUCAGGCUUAAAUAUCAAAGCAAGCCCUAGAUGGUAUAGCUUUCUUUUAGAAAGGGGAAAGUUUGAUAUUUCUUUUGAGACUUUCCCAAAAUAGUAUCUUGCUUAUGGGUCAGCAACAUGUACAAUAAUUGUGUAGUUUCAUGAUGUGGAAUAUUCUGUUGUCCACGAGUAACUGAGUAAAUUAGAAAUGACAGUAUUUUGGAAUGUAAAUCCCCUUUCUUGCUUUUUAAUUUUUAGUUGACAUGUAAUAAUUGUACAUAUUGGUCCGGGCACGGUGGCUUAUGCCUGUAAUCCCAGCACUUUGGAGAGUUGAGCG